rnacentral:tRNA from 1 species
UGUAGCUCAGGGGUAGAGCAUCCGCCUAGGCGGAAGGUAGUGGGUUCAAUUCCCUUCAACAACCA